UUUCAAAUUUUUAAGAGCAAACGGUGAAUGCCUUGGCAUGUAGAGCCGAAGAAGGACGUAGUAAUCUGCGAUAAGCCUCGGGGAGUUGAUAAACGAACUGUGAUCCGAGGAUGUCCGAAUGGGGAAACCCCGCCAGGCCCGUGAGGUGACCUGGUGACUCCCGCCUGAAUAUAUAGGGCGGGUAGAGGGAACGUGGGGAAGUGAAACAUCUCAGUACCCACAGGAAGAGAAAACAAUAGUGAUUCCGUUAGUAGUGGCGAGCGAACCCCGGAUGAGGCUAAACCGAUCAUGUGUGAUAGCCGGUAGCGUUGCAUGGUCGGGGUUGCGGGACUUCUAUUCAUUCUACCGAGAUGGUGAGGGUUAGAAACGUUGUAUAGACCGAACAGGAUUGAAAGCCCUGGGUCAUAGAGGGUGCGAACCCCCGUAGUCGAAAUGCAG
rnacentral:ncRNA from 1 species